UANAAUGCAGUCGCACGGGCCGUAGCAAUACGGUCAGUGGCGGACGGGUGAGUAAAGAAUCGCUAAUGUACCCUGGACUCCGGGAUAGCUAUCCGAAAGGGUAGGUAAUACCAGAUGAGACCACGAACAGGCAUCUGUUUGUGCUCAAAGGAGCAAUUCGGUCUGGGAGCAGGCGAUUUCGUAUCAGCUAGUUGGUGCGGGUAACGGCCCACCAAGGCGAUGACGCGUAACUGGUCUGAGAGGACGGCCAGUCACAUCGGGACUGAGACACUGCCCGGACUCCUACGGGGGGCUGCAGUAACGAAUCUUCCCCAAUGCACGCAAGUGUGAGGGAGCGACGCCGCGUGUAGGACGAAGUCCUUCGGGAUGUAAACUACUGUCAGGGGUUACCAAGUUCUGAGGAGCCCCAGAGGAAGAGGCGGCUAACUCUGUGCCAGCAGCCGCGGUAAUACAGAGGCCUCAAGCGUUAGGCGGAAUCACUGGGCUUAAAGCGCGUGUAGGCGGAUCGUUAAGUGCCUUGUGAAAUCCCACGGCUCAACCGUGGAACUGCUGGGCAUACUGGCGAUCUUGGGUCAUUCAGGGGCAACUGGAACAAGCGGUGGAGCGGUGAAAUGCGUAGAUAUCGCUUGGAACGCCAAAGGUGAAGACAGGUUGCUGGGGAUGUACCGACGCUGAGACGCGAAAGCCAGGGGAGCAAACGGGAUUAGAUACCCCGGUAGUCCUGGCCCUAAACGAUGUCCACUGGAUCGCGGUUCCUUGACGGGAAUCGCGGUCGGAGCAAAAGUGUUAAGUGGACCGCCUGGGAAGUACGGUCGCAAGGCUAAAACUCAAAGGAAUUGACGG
rnacentral:rRNA from 1 species